rnacentral:tRNA from 1 species
GGCCCAAUAGUCAAGUGGUUAAGACGUAACAUUUUCACUGUUAAAUGCGCGGGUUCAAUCCCCGCUUGGGCUCA